rnacentral:rRNA from 1 species
CGAACAGAGUAGUUAAGCCCGCCUGCGCAGAUGGUACUGCAGUUAUGUGGGAGAGUAUGUCGUCGCCUUUC